UCACAGCCUCUUAUCAGUAUCAUUCAGUAUUGAGAGACCAGGCAACCAUGAUGCUCACCUCCAAAUCUCACUGACUGUAUUUUCAAAUAGAUGUAAACAAGCUCUGCCUGUACUGCAUGAUGGAUGGGUAUAAGCUGGCUCUGAUCAGAAGGCCCAUGGUGCACAACUAAAUCCUGCCAGAUGAAGCCUCCUACCAGCACUGUAGGAAGAAGGCAUGUGCUGAUCCCUGGGAGUUUCAUCUCAGGAAGGUCCUGUGGUUUCUGCCCUCAACAAACACAGUUUUGUGACAAACUCACCAGCAAAAUGAAAACAUGAAUGUUAUCACUUUUGCCAGUUUCCAAUGUGCUACCAGUGACAUUUUUUUCCCCUAAAUAUCAAUAAACAUAAAUUCGAAGGCA
rnacentral:lncRNA from 1 species